UUGAUUAGGGUAUUUAGCUGUUAACUAAAUUUUUGUGGGUUUAAGUCCCAUUAAUCUAGUAAGGGCUUAGCUUAAUUAA
rnacentral:miRNA from 10 species